GCCAUCUAGGUGCCCCUUCUCCCCCAUUUUUCUUCUGUCACAUCCCUCUUGUUAGGUCCCCCACGAGCGUUUUGGCUCUUAUUUCGCCUAAUCUCUUCGGGAUUUUUAGGGUUUCUGCUUGAAAUGUCUUCUGGCACCUCCGCCUCUAGUGGUUCCAGGAGCUCGUCUGCCUCAGUCCCCCAGAACUCUCAUAUUGUAGACCAACCCACAUCCAGGGUUGGGCCUCGUCUAGUUUUUGCGUCGGGCGCCAUUCCC
rnacentral:lncRNA from 1 species